GCUGCGUCCCACGGGAAAAUGCAUCGUGCAGCCAUGGAAACCAUAAGGCUAGGUGUUAUGCUAUAAUUGGGCCAGCAUUUUUAACGGUGCAGCUGCACUGCCAGGUAUGCCACUGUCUUCAAAUGAGAAAUUAUAGGGGAGCCGCAGCCGAGCAGACGCAGCCGACUUCACGGGAGCCUUUUUCCUGUGUGAGGGGUUCUCAAUCGCACUUACGGCGUGGAAGAGCCAACGGAAACAUGUUUGCUCCUGUCCGGGUGCAAGACGGAGACGGAUCGAGGAAGGAGACGAGGAAGGGAAGAGGAGGAGGGAGCGUGAGGAGGAGGAGGGGAAGAGGGGAAAGAUGGUCGUCAGCCAAUCCCUGCUCAGUCUCCGUAACUUGGUUGAUUACGAUCAAUUUCCCUGGUAUCGAUGGCCUCGCUGGCUCCGAGCUACGCUCCCUCCUGCACUUUGCAUGCUCUCCCUCAGAUAUCGGGAUGCGGCCGCAAUUGGAGGUGCCGUGGCGAAUCCUCCCGAUCCGCCUGCAGACGGGGCCGGAUCAGAACCACACGCAGUCAUGCUGACCCACGGGCGUGCGAGUCACAGUCACACUGACAACGCGUUGGUUUGUUUAAACCCGAGUGAUUCACGUAAACCAAUAAGUGAGGCAAUAAAAGCUGACCCGACCCAGGCGACCGUCAUUAUUAGACGAAGUCGCACCGUAGGAUCCGCUACAGAAGGAGCACAGGUGCACCAGGAAGAAGCCUCCACCCGCUCCAGCAGCCGCCCACUGUGCAGUGUUCACUGUAGUCGUGUUAUUUAAAGGAAUGCGCUUUUCUGGGGGGAGUUCUGGCCCCGUGGUGCAGCUGUUGCAGCGCUGCAGUGGACCAGUGGCGCUGUGACAUCUGUUGUUAUGCCAUUAUUAGGAUCCCCCCGCCCCCCGUUAGUGUCACCACGGCACACACUCCACCCAAAAGAAGGAGAGGAGGCAAACGCAGGUGGCUGAGCCGCAACACUGGUGGAACUUCAGAUGAAAAAGGAACAAUGCAUCAGUGGAAACAAGCUGAAAAAUGAUGAGGCUUUGGUGAAAACAAGAGGAAAGGACAACAGCAGCUUAAGAGAUGACAUAUUUCUGAUAUUAUAUAGAUAUAUGAG
rnacentral:lncRNA from 1 species